rnacentral:tRNA from 1 species
GCAGAUGUGGCGGAAUUGGUAGACGCGCUACAUUCAGGGUGUAGUGGGCGAAUGCCCGUGUGAGUUCGAGUCUCGUCAUCUGUA